rnacentral:rRNA from 1 species
UCGAGCGGCGGACGGGUGAGUAACACGUGGGAAUCUGCCCAUUAGUGGGGGAUAACUCGGGGAAACUCGAGCUAAUACCGCAUAAUCCCUACGGGGGAAAGCAGGGGAUCUUCGGACCUUGCGCUGAUGGAUGAGCCCGCGUCGGAUUAGCUUGUUGGUGGGGUAAUGGCCCACCAAGGCGACGAUCCGUAACUGGUCUGAGAGGAUGGCCAGUCACACCGGGACUGAGACACGGCCCGGACUCCUACGGGAGGCAGCAGUG